rnacentral:rRNA from 1 species
AACGAACGCUGGCGGCAUGCCUAACACAUGCAAGUCGAACGAGACCUUCGGGUCUAGUGGCGCACGGGUGCGUAACGCGUGGGAAUCUACCCUUGGGUUCGGAAUAACAGUUAGAAAUGACUGCUAAUACCGGAUGAUGACGUAAGUCCAAAGAUUUAUCGCCCAAGGAUGAGCCCGCGUAAGAUUAGCUUGUUGGUGGGGUAAUGGCCUACCAAGGCGACGAUCUUUAGCUGGUCUGAGAGGAUGAUCAGCCACACUGGGACUGAGACACGGCCCAGACUCCUAGGGGAGGCAGCAGUGGGGAAUAUUGGAAAAUGGGGGAAAGCCUGAUCCAGCAAUGCCGCGUGAGUGAUGAAGGCCUUAGGGUUGUAAAGCUCUUUUACCAGGGAUGAUAAUGACAGUACCUGGAGAAUAAGCUCCGGCUAACUCCGUGCCAGCCGCCGCGGUAA